rnacentral:tRNA from 1 species
GGAGGAGUCGCAUAGCGGCCUAGUGCACCAUCUUGGAAAGAUGGCAUACCUUUACCGGUAUCGUGGGUUCAAAUCCCACCUCCUCCG